rnacentral:rRNA from 1 species
CAAUGGGCGCAAGCCUGAUCCAGCCAUGCCGCGUGUGUGAAGAAGGCCUUCGGGUUGUAAAGCACUUUNNGCNGGGAGGAAGGNGNUUNUGUUAAUACCNGAGGNCCUUGACGUUACCCGCAGAAUAAGCACCGGCUAACUCCGUGCCAGCAGCCGCGGUAAUACGGAGGGUGCAAGCGUUAAUCGGAAUUACUGGGCGUAAAGCGCNCGCAGGCGGUUUNUUAAGUCAGAUGUGAAAUCCCCGGGCUCAACCUGGGAACUGCAUUUGAAACUGGCNNGCUAGAGUCNNGUAGAGGGGGGUAGAAUUCCAGGUGUAGCGGUGAAAUGCGUAGANAUCUGGAGGAACACCGGUGGCGAAGGCGGCCCCCUGGACNAAGUACUGACGCUCAGGUGCGAAAGCGUGGGGAGCAAACAGGAU